rnacentral:rRNA from 1 species
UGGCUCAGGACGAACGCUGGCGGCGUGCUUAACACAUGCAAGUCGAGCGGUAAGGCCCUUCGGGGUACACGAGCGGCGAACGGGUGAGUAACACGUGGGUAACCUGCCCUGUACUCUGGGAUAAGCCUUGGAAACGAGGUCUAAUACCGGAUAUGACACUGGAUCGCAUGAUCUGGUGUGGAAAGUUCCGGCGGUAUGGGAUGGACCCGCGGCCUAUCAGCUUGUUGGUGGGGUAAUGGCCUACCAAGGCGACGACGGGUAGCCGGCCUGAGAGGGUGACCGGCCACACUGGGACUGAGACACGGCCCAGACUCCUACGGGAGGCAGCAGUGGGGAAUAUUGCACAAUGGGCGAAAGCCUGAUGCAGCGACGCCGCGUGAGGGAUGACGGCCUUCGGGUUGUAAACCUCUUUCAGCAGGGACGAAGCGCAAGUGAC